rnacentral:RNase_P_RNA from 1 species
GAAGUUGACCAAACAGUCGCUGUUUAGUUUUGAAAAAUUAAAAAGAGGAAAGUCCGGGCUCCAUAGAGCAAGGUGCCAGAUAACACCUGGAAAGCGUAAGCUUAUGACUAGUGCAACAGAAAAAAAACCACCUAUUUUUUAUAGAAAAUAUGGCCAGGGUGAAAAGGUGUGGUAAGAGCACACCGCAUAAUUGGCAACAAUUCAUGGCAUGGUAAACUCCACCUGGAGCAAAGCUAAAUAUAGGGUAGAUUAAUUUCUUGUAUUGCUCGUACUUUACAAACCCUGGGUAAGCUGCUUGAAUUAGUAAGUGAUUACUAAUCUAGAUGAAUGACUGUUAAAACAGAACCCGGCUUAUAGGUCAACUUCAUUA